AUGGACCUCCUUCAAACCAUAAAGCAAAGUUCACACUCGCUUCUUGCCACAUUGUCCUCCGCGCCAGAGGGGUUUCUGUCGGAGCUUACCCAGCAGCUGGCGCAGGCCACCAGCAAGCCCGCACAGUACAUCGCAGUGCACGUGGUCCAGGACCAGCUCAUGACUUUUAGCGGCACGAACGAUCCCUGCGCCCUCUGCAGCCUGCACAGCAUCAGCAAGAUCGGUGGUGCCCAGAACCGCAACUACAGCAAGCUGCUGUGCUGCCUGCUGUCCGAUCGCCUGCACAUCAGCCCCGACCGGGUCUACAUCAACUAUUAUGACAUGAACGCUGCCAAUGUGGGCUGGAACGGUUCCACCUUCGCUUGAGUCCUGGACCCACUUACCUGCACCGCUGUUCUUCGAGCCUCGC